rnacentral:rRNA from 1 species
GAUGAACGCUAGCGGCAGGCCUAACACAUGCAAGUCGAGGGAGAAGCCCUUUCGGGGGCAGAAACCGGCGCACGGGUGCGUAACGCGUAUGCAACCUACCUUUCACAGGGGGAUAGCCCGAAGAAAUUUGGAUUAAUACCCCAUAAUAUUAUUGGAUGGCAUCAUUUGAUAAUUAAAACUGCGGUGGUGAAAGAUGGGCAUGCGUCCUAUUAGCUAGUUGGAGUGGUAACGGCACCCCAAGGCUACGAUAGGUAGGGGUCCUGAGAGGGAGAUCCCCCACACUGGUACUGAGUCAGGGACCAGACUCCUACGGGAGGCAGCAGUGAGGAAUAUUGAUCAAUGGUCGGAAGACUGAACCAGCCAUGCCGCGUGCAGGAAGAAUGCCUUAUGGGUUGUAAACUGCUUUUAUAUGGGAAGAAUAAGGUGUACGUGUACAUUGAUGACGGUACCAUAUGAAUAAGCAGCGGCUAACUCCGUG